rnacentral:rRNA from 1 species
CCUACGGGAGGCAGCAGUGAGGAAUAUUGGUCAAUGGACGAGAGUCUGAACCAGCCAAGUAGCGUGAAGGAUGACUGCCCUAUGGGUUGUAAACUUCUUUUAUAUGGGAAUAAAAUGUUCCACGUGUGGGAUUUUGUAUGUAGCAUAUGAAUAAGGAUCGGCUAACUCCGUGCCAGCAGCCGCGGUAAUACGGAGGAUCCGAGCGUUAUCCGGAUUUAUUGGGUUUAAAGGGAGCGUAGGUGGAUUGUUAAGUCAGUUGUGAAAGUUUGCGGCUCAACCGUAAAAUUGCAGUUGAAACUGGCAGUCUUGAGUACAGUAGAGGUGGGCGGAAUUCGUGGUGUAGCGGUGAAAUGCUUAGAUAUCACGAAGAACUCCGAUUGCGAAGGCAGUUCACUGGACUGCAACUGACACUGAGGCUCGAAAGUGUGGGUAUCAAACAGGAUUAGAUACCCGUGUAGUC